rnacentral:rRNA from 1 species
UGCGGGUAUCGACCCCUGUAGUGCCGUAGUUAACGCGAUAAGUAUCCCGCCUGGGGAGUACGCACGCAAGUGUGAAACUCAAAGGAAUUGACGGGGACCCGCACAAGCGGUGGAACAUGUGGUUUAAUUCGAAGCAACGCGAAGAACCUUACCAGGGCUUGACAUCUGACGAACCUCUGUGAAAGCAGGGGGUGCUCUUCGGAGAGCGUCAAGACAGGUGGUGCACGGUUGUCGUCAGCUCGUGUCGUGAGAUGUUGGGUUAAGUCCCGCAACGAGCGCAACCCUUGUUGUUAGUUGCUUACGGUGGUACACUGCCGUAUAGCUCUCUAGCAAGACUGCCGGUGAUAAACCGGAGGAAGGUGAGGACGACGACAAAUCAUCAUGCCCCUUAUGCUCUGGGCUACACACGUGUUACAAUGGGUAGGACAACGAGCAGCCAACUCGCAAGAGUGAGCAAAUCUCUUAAAUCUAUCCUCAGUUCGGAUCGUAGUCUGCAACUCGACUACGUGAAGUCGGAAUCGCUAGUAAACGCAGAUCAGCACGCUGCGUUGAAUACGUUCCCGGGUCUUGUACACACCGCCCGUCACACCAUGGGAGUUGACCACGCCCAAAGCCGGUGAGCUAACCUUUUAGGAGGCAGCCGUCUAAGGCAGGGUUGAUGACUGGGGUGAAGUCGUAACAAGGUAGCCG